UCGGGCACAUGUUUGGGAACAUUCUGUUACAUAACGUUCAGCUACCCACCGCGGCUGGGCGCCCUUGGCGGUAAGUGCGGCCUGUAAUGACAAUGACAAUCGUAGGGGUGUAAUGACAGGCCGACGAUAGCGCAUCCACCCGACCAGGAAGCGCCUUAACACGAGAGGAUUUUUUUUUUUUUUUUUUAAAUUUGGCGCCCCAACUUGGAGAAGCGCAGCGACAUGGUCUUCCGCUCAAUACACCUUGUCGUGCGUCGCUGCUAGGACCCACAACGGCCCACAGAGUGAGGCUGCGUCACUACCGACGCGUCGUCACAAGACAGCGGUACCGCGUGCAAGACGUUCGUCUGGGAGUCGUCUUAAUGAGGAGACGAAUGGCCUGGGCAGACAGAGGUACAUACGCACCGCGUACGGUACGUUUCUCUCUCUCUCUCGGAGCUCAACUGAGGUAGCGGCGCGCGCCACCUGGUCUCGGCAGCGGGUCGUAAAGCGCUCACCGGAAAUGAAUGGUUGCGGAGCGGCUAAGGUGCGAAUGGCGUGCUGCCCAUGGGAGGAUUCGUGGAGUUGCCUACUGCAGCGCAGUCGACUGUCAGCGGCGACGGGGGAAGGCCGUGAACAAGGGACAGCCCGCAGUGUUGCCGGCCCUAAUUGUGCGCGCCGAAACGAGGGGCCGACAAGCACGGCGUUGACCAUGGGUGGCCGCCCGCGGUCCCUCGCUCGCGGAAGUGCGUUUUGUACCGGGACCAGAACGCGCGCUUGCUUGCAAAUGGGCUCCUCCUGCCGCCUCCCCGCGGUCACUGUACGCGCCGGAGCCGAACCACCGAUCAUGCGUCAUUUCUCGCUGUUCGGCUCGACGCCUGCUCCGGCGACGGGCCUGCAAACCGCAGGUUUGUUGGCGGGUUAGUUGUGGUGUGUACGAGUACUUUGUUAGCGGUGUUUUCUUCUGGUGCGCGCUGCGGGCGUUCGCGUAUUGUGGUGGUGAAAGGAAAUAGCGUCUGGGCAAGAUUUUUUUCUUUCGUUUUGUCGUUUUCGACGCCUCUGUAGGUGUUUCGAGCGUUGCUUCCUUGCCCCCAGUGCAAUAAAGCAGCGUGCGAAAGAAAGCGAAAGGAACCGCACUCGCCUGUUUCCUCUUCAUUAAAAAAAAGCAAAUAUAUUAUCCAUGAGCAUGCGCCAUACGUUACGCUGUAUGCUGUUCCGUGAGACAUCUGAGUGAAUACAGCAGCUCUCUCUCUCUCUUUCGAGAUUAUUUUAACACGAGUACCUAAAACAUUAUAACCUAAAUAUUAUAAGUACCUAAACAUUAUACCUAGUACCUAAAAAUUAUAACACGAGUACCUAAAAUCACCAUACCAGCGCUCAGCCAGAACAAACCAUGACAAGAGUAUCAGGCCAUAUAUCUCCCGCUGUAAUACAUUCAAGUAUUCCUUCUUUCCGUCAGUCAUAGAAUAAUGGAAUAAACUGCCACACGACAUUGUGUCCUCAGAAUCUGUCAUCACAUUUUCUGUCAAGAUCGAAAUUUUUUUUUAUCAGCAGUUGCGCCGUUGUAGAAAAAAAAAAAAGCGCUGUGCACGGAGCGUAUGUUUCAUGUGUAUGCUGAUCGCAGUUCUUUUUAGUGUAUGCUUUUACUAUGUAUGCCGCUUGCAGUUCUUAUUCCGAAAUCAGUGUAUAACGUGUACCCUGUCCUGUUAGUCUGUACUAUUUUAGGAUUUCCUUUUCUUUCAUUUCUUAUUUUCGGAUCUUUUUCUUUUAUUGUUAGCAAUCAGUACUUCUCGUUCUUUUUUUUUUGUUGUUCCCACGCCUGUAAGAGCCUGUCAAGGCUUACAGUAUUAUUAAAUAAAUAAAAAUAUUUUUUUUUAGUUUUCUUCUUGCAUGCUGCGACACUGUAGUUGCGAUCAUAAUAGAGAACGAGCAAGACAAAAUGUCCACUAAGAAUUUUAGUUGCAAUGUACCAUUCGCAUAAAUUAAAUCACGAACAGAAAAUAACUGACCAGAACGCCUGUAUACCGCGUAUUUAUGUGGAAGCACGACGUGUAAUCGCUCCUUAUAUAGUAGGUUUCUAUGCAUGGAAUUGUCCUAAAUGUACGUUCUAGAACCGGAAUUAAAGCGCUGUUGCAAAUGCAGGCAAACGCAUAAACGCCUUCGAAUUGUUUUAUACUUGUUCGCGUUUGAAUUUAUGCUGCUAGUAUAUGGUACCUUUGUUUAUCGGCAAUGUGAUGGUUGAAUUUUUGUUGUUGUUGUCGUCCUCGUCGUCGUCGUCGUCGUUGUUGUUGUUGUUGUAGGCACGAUAGGAGGAAAUGUUGGCGCACAAAUCUGGCGCCGGCUUUUCCAUGGCUCUUGAACAGGUGACACAUACUUCAGCAAACAACGCAAAUAACAGAACACAGAAAGGGGGCACACGACACAGGCGCUGACUUUCAACAAGUAUGUUUAUUGCACGAGCGCUGAAUAUAUAGGCAGAGAAGCAAGAUUGGAAACAUAAAUGGCGUGAAAAACAUGAGGAGAAUGACUUGAGGUUGCGGGUGGGCAGAGAUGUGUUAAAUUCGCAGAUACGCGACUUCCUUGUCUAAUAACUGGAUGGAUGGUGAACUGAUGCAUGAAGGACUACGUUCGAUGAUGGCAAAUGCCUCGAUAAUUUCACGCGUGCGCUGGUCAGCGUGCUUUUUAAUGACAGUGACUUUUCUAAAAUAGGGGAUGCAUUUACAAGACCUGCAUGCAUGUAUCAUGCAUCCUUCAUGAUGCAUGAUGCAUGCAUGGUGCAUGCAUAGUCCUUCAUGCAUAAGUUCACCAACCAUUCAGUUAUUAAGUUCUUUUAAUUCAAGUUCAAGUCAAGUUCUUUUAUUAAUUAUUUAGACAAGGCAAUCGCGUAUCUGAAAAUUUAACACACCUCCGCCCACCUGCAACCACAAGUCAUUCUCCUCAUGUUUUUCACGCCAUUAUAUUUCCAACUUUGCUUCUCUGCCUAUAUAUUCUGCGCUCGCGCAAUAAACAUACUUGUUGGAAGCCAGCGCCUGUGUCGCGUGCGUCUUUUCUGUGUCCCGUUAUUCGCGCUGUUUGCUAAAGUAUCUGUUCGUACCAACAAGCCCGGCUAGUCACUGUUCAGAUGACGCACUUUACUUUUUUUUUUUCUUGGGGGGGGGGUAUUUUUUUGGAAGUAUAGACUUGCAAAAAUAGUCAAAGAGACUAUUUAUUCUUUGUGCAGCUACGCGUUUGUAUAUGUCUUUGUGCUUAUAGUUUCUACAUGGUUACGCGAGAGAGGGGAGGAAAGGAGGGGGAGGAAAUGGUGCAAGUUCUAUUCGCAAAGAUUAUUACUAUACGGUCCUGCGGUAAGAAUCGUAGGCUUUCAAAGAAGUUUAUUCAUUCAUGGGUGAAUCUAGGUGUGUACUUGCAAAACCCGUUGCUUUAAGUACAGUGAAGGUAAUAUAGGGUAGCCCGUCGUCCGCUAAUUCUGUCUCUGAUUUUCUCUUCAGGAAUGCGAGAAGUGGACACAGUUCAAAUUCAUUGGCAAUUCGCGUGACCUGUGGAUAGUGCACUCGGAGUAAUCUGAGAGGACGAACUCGGAACAAGACGAACAGUCAGUGAAAAAGGCAUUGGUGUCAUCAGCGUACGUGACCAGAUCCGGGUUCUUUGGAGGACGUCCAAGAAGAAGACAGCUUCCCUGCAGCCUAUGAAGCGAUGUUCUAUCGUCUGUUCAGGUGAAG